rnacentral:rRNA from 1 species
UGGGGAAUAUUGGACAAUGGGCGAAAGCCUGAUCCAGCCAUGCCGCGUGAGUGAUGAAGGCCUUAGGGUUGUAAAGCUCUUUUAGCAGGGAAGAUAAUGACGGUACCUGCAGAAAAAGCCCCGGCUAACUUCGUGCCAGCAGCCGCGGUAAUACGAAGGGGGCUAGCGUUGCUCGGAAUUACUGGGCGUAAAGCGCACGUAGGCGGACUCUUAAGUCGGUGGUGAAAUCCUGGAGCUCAACUCCAGAACUGCCUUCGAUACUGGGAGUCUUGAGUUCGGGAGAGGUGAGUGGAACUGCGAGUGUAGAGGUGAAAUUCGUAGAUAUUCGCAAGAACACCAGUGGCGAAGGCGGCUCACUGUCCCGAUACUGACGCUGAGGUGCGAAAGCGUGG